rnacentral:rRNA from 1 species
AGUGAACGCUGGCGGUAGGCCUAACACAUGCAAGUCGAACGGCAGCACAGUAAGAGCUUGCUCUUACGGGUGGCGAGUGGCGGACGGGUGAGGAAUACAUCGGAAUCUACUUUUUCGUGGGGGAUAACGUAGGGAAACUUACGCUAAUACCGCAUACGACCUACGGGUGAAAGCAGGGGAUCUUCGGACCUUGCGCGAUUGAAUGAGCCGAUGUCGGAUUAGCUAGUUGGCGGGGUAAAGGCCCACCAAGGCGACGAUCCGUAGCUGGUCUGAGAGGAUGAUCAGCCACACUGGAACUGAGACACGGGCCAGACUCCUACGGGAGGCAGCAGUGGGGAAUAUUGGACAAUGGGCGCAAGCCUGAUCCAGCCAUACCGCGGGGGUGAAGAAGGCCUUCGGGUUGUAAAGCCCUUUUGUUGGGAAAGAAAAGCAGCAGGUUAAUACCCCGCUGUUCUGACGGUACCCAAAGAAUAAGCACCGGCUAACUUCGU